rnacentral:tRNA from 1 species
GACCUGACCACUCAUACAUUGAAAGCAAUUUGUGAUUAAGUGAUGAGAAGGUACAUCCCAGGUCGUGACGUGGACUAGGUAAUAUUUUCGGCUUUCAAACAAUUAUAGGUUCGGUAAUUAAUUGAUUAUUAAUAAUUAGUUAAUUAAUUAUCACUUAUGGGCUAUUAGCUUCAGGUGGUUAGAGCGCACCCCUGAUAAGGGUGAGGUCCCUGGUUCGAGUCCAGGAUGGCCCACCUGAAACAGUGAGCAGUGAACAGUAAGCAGUGUUCAAAUAUUGAAAUAAUUGAUAACUGUAAACUGAUGGCUGGUAACUGAAUGUAGGGGGGUAUAGCUCAGUUGGUAGAGCGCUGCCUUUGCAAGGCAGAUGUCAGCGGUUCGAGUCCGCUUACCUCCACCAAAUUUAUUUAUUAUUUAACAGGUAAUAAGUAAGUCGGAAAUAUUUCAGCACCCAGACUGAUAUAAAGUUGGAAUGCUGGAUUGUUAUCCAGUCAGAACCUUGAAAACUGCAUAUUCACGCGAAAUGAUUUUAGGUAGUGUUUGAUUACCUUGUGUAAUUAAACUUUGUAUCUAGAUAUCCUAUUUUGUAAAAUUGGAAAUCUUGU